GACGAACGCUGGCGGCGUGCCUCAAACAUGCAAGUCGAGCGAGGUGAAACCGAACCGCAAGGUGAGGUUGAACCUAGCGGCGAACGGGUGAGUAACACGUGGGUAACCUGCCUGGAAGAUCGGGAUAACGGCUCGAAAGAGUCGCUAAUACCGGAUAAUGUCCUGGUGCUGCAUGGCACCGGGAAGAAAGGGGGAAACCCGCUUUCAGAUGGGCCCGCGCCCCAUCAGCUAGUUGGUAAGGUAACGGCUUACCAAGGCGACGACGGGUAGCCGGUCUGAGAGGACGAUCGGCCACACUGGGACUGAGAUACGGCCCAGACUCCUACGGGAGGCAGCAGUUGGGAAUCUUAGGCAAUGGGCGAAAGCCUGACCUAGCGACGCCGCGUGAGGGAAGAAGGCCUUCGGGUCGUAAACCUCUGUCAUGGGGACGAAGAAAGUGACGGUACCCCGACGGAGGAAGCCCUCGCUAACUACGUGCCAGCAGCCGCGGUAAACCUCGUCUCUA
rnacentral:rRNA from 1 species